rnacentral:piRNA from 1 species
GGAGGUUUGUAGCAUGGUCUCCC